AAUCACACCCUCAGAGAUGCUUCAGUAAGUAUUUUCCUCAGACUGGAUACCUUCCAGGCCUGGGCACAAUUCUUUCCCUUGGUACAGCUUUGUUCCAGCCCAGGUGGUAGCUGGGGGGUUCCUCAUGAUGGCUCCUCCUCUUUGUUCUGUUCCACCCAUUUAUAUAUCUUUUGCAUAAGGCAG